rnacentral:lncRNA from 1 species
UAAUUGUUUGAAAAUAAAUAAAUAUCAACAUUGGAUUCCUAUCUUCUUUUUUUACAGCUCAUGUCACUUUCUCUCCUCUCACACGCCACUCUUCACACUCCUUACACGUUUCCUCUUCUCACACACUAACCAUAUUUUCCUCACCUCUCUCAACCUCACUCAUCUCUCUCUGCUACAAGUUAAUAAAAAGGAGAGAACUAGAAGGAGAGAAAAAGAAGCUUCUUCUUCACGCGAACA